UUAUUAAACAAUUUGAUUCAUUGUAAGACCUUCACAGACAUUCCUCGUAAGUUAUUCAUCGAAGUAAAACUGUCAACUGUCAACAUUGAAGUUGUCUACUACUUCAGAGCGUCCCGAAAGUGUUUUGCAGUACGGAACUGUCAACUGUCACAACAUGGAACACUCGAAACGCAACUUUUGGUAUGUAAAUGAAUACAGAACGAAGAACUUUAAGAUGGUGUCGUCUAAACUCGUACAGUCGUUAGAAAGCUCUAUAUCUUUCAUCAAAUAUAUUGAGAUUAAUGGUACUUAUUCACUGUUAGUAUAAAUAAAAUAAGGCAUUA